rnacentral:misc_RNA from 1 species
GAUGAAGAACGUAGCGAAAUGCGAUAAGUAAUGUGAAUUGCAGAAUUCAGUGAAUCAUCGAAUCUUUGAACGCACAUUGCGCCCUCUGGUAUUCCGGGGGGCAUGCCUGUUCGAGCGUCAUUAUAACCACUCAAGCUCUCGCUUGGUAUUGGGGUUCGCGGUUUCGCGGCCCCUAAAAUCAGUGGCGGUGCCUGUCGGCUCUACGCGUAGUAAUACUCCUCGCGAUUGAGUCCGGUAGGUCUACUUGCCAGCAACCCCUAAUUUUUUUAAGGUUGACCUCGGAUCAGGUAGGGAUACCCGCUGAACUUAAGCAUAUCAAUAAGCUGAGGA